rnacentral:rRNA from 1 species
GGAGCAGCCCAGAGCCUGAAUCAGUGUGUGUGUUAGUGGAAGCGUCUGGAAAGGCGCGCGAUACAGGGUGACAGCCCCGUACACAAAAAUGCACAUGCUGUGAGCUCGAUGAGUAGGGCGGGACACGUGGUAUCCUGUCUGAAUAUGGGGGGACCAUCCUCCAAGGCUAAAUACUCCUGACUGACCGAUAGUGAACCAGUACCGUGAGGGAAAGGCGAAAAGAACCCCGGCGAGGGGAGUGAAAAAGAACCUGAAACCGUGUACGUACAAGCAGUGGGAGCACGCUUAGGCGUGUGACUGCGUACCUUUUGUAUAAUGGGUCAGCGACUUAUAUUCUGUAGCAAGGUUAACCGAAUAGGGGAGCCGAAGGGAAACCGAGUCUUAACUGGGCGUUAAGUUGCAGGGUAUAGACCCGAAACCCGGUGAUCUAGCCAUGGGCAGGUUGAAGGUUGGGUAACACUAACUGGAGGACCGAACCGACUAAUGUUGAAAAAUUAGCGGAUGACUUGUGGCUGGGGGUGAAAGGCCAAUCAAACCGGGAGAUAGCUGGUUCUCCCCGAAAGCUAUUUAGGUAGCGCCUCGUGAAUUCAUCUCCGGGGGUAGAGCACUGUUUCGGCAAGGGGGUCAUCCCGACUUACCAACCCGAUGCAAACUGCGAAUACCGGAGAAUGUUAUCACGGGAGACACACGGCGGGUGCUAACGUCCGUCGUGAAGAGGGAAACAACCCAGACCGCCAGCUAAGGUCCCAAAGUCAUGGUUAAGUGGGAAACGAUGUGGGAAGGCCCAGACAGCCAGGAUGUUGGCUUAGAAGCAGCCAUCAUUUAAAGAAAGCGUAAUAGCUCACUGGUCGAGUCGGCCUGCGCGGAAGAUGUAACGGGGCUAAACCAUGCACCGAAGCUGCGGCAGCGACGCUGAUGCGUUGUUGGGUAGGGGAGCGUUCUGUAAGCCUGCGAAGGUGUGCUGUGAGGCAUGCUGGAGGUAUCAGAAGUGCGAAUGCUGACAUAAGUAACGAUAAAGCGGGUGAAAAGCCCGCUCGCCGGAAGACCAAGGGUUCCUGUCCAACGUUAAUCGGGGCAGGGUGAGUCGACCCCUAAGGCGAGGCCGAAAGGCGUAGUCGAUGGGAAACAGGUUAAUAUUCCUGUACUUGGUGUUACUGCGAAGGGGGGACGGAGAAGGCUAUGUUGGCCGGGCGACGGUUGUCCCGGUUUAAGCGUGUAGGCUGGUUUUCCAGGCAAAUCCGGAAA